CCUCCCUUUGUAUGGGAGCUCUGUUUUCACUCUAUUAAAUCUUGCAACUGCACUCUUUUCUGGUCUGUAUUUGUUACGGCUCUAGCUGAGCUUUUGCUCGCUGUCCGCCACUGCUGUUUGCCACCAUCGCAGACUCGCUGCUGACUUCCAUCCCUCCGGAUCUGGCAGGGUGUCCACUGUGCUCCUGAUCCAGUGAGGCACCCAUUGCCACUCCCGAUUGGGCUACAGGCUUGCCAUUGUUCCUGCAUGGCUAAGUGCCUGGGUUCGUCCUAAUUGAGCUGAACACUAGUCACUGGGUUCCACGGUUCUCUUCUGUAACCCACGGCUUCUAAUAGAGCUAUAAUACUUACUGUAUGGCCCAAGAUUCCAUUCCUUGGAAUCUGUGAGGCCAAGAACCCUAGGGCAGAGAAAACAAGGCUUGCCACCAUCUUGGAAGCAGCCCGUGGCCAUCUUUGGAGCUCUUUGAGCAAGGACACCCUGGUAACAUUUUGGUGACCACAAAGGGACCUCCAAAGUGUAGAAUACAACUCCAGAGUAAGAACUUGUUUUCUUCUCUGCUGUAUUCUUUGUGCCCAAGACUAACACAAGGUAGGCUCUCAAUAAAUAUUUGUUCAAUGAGUACAUCAAUUAUUAUGCCAUGAUAAACAAGGGUAAUGACCUCAGAGAUGAUUGAGGUUUUCCUGCAUUAAAUAUUUCCAUGUAUAUUAUGGAUUGUUAAUUUCCUAUUUCUGUUCAUUCUUAAGAGCCCUAUAAAGGUUUUUACUUAUUCC
rnacentral:lncRNA from 10 species